rnacentral:rRNA from 1 species
ACGAACGCUGGCGGCGUGCCUAAUACAUGCAAGUCGAACGAAACUUUCUUACACCGAAUGCUUGCAUUCACCGUAAGAAGUUGAGUGGCGGACGGGUGAGUAACACGUGGGUAACCUGCCUAAAAGAAGGGGAUAACACUUGGAAACAGGUGCUAAUACCGUAUAUCUCUAAGGAUCGCAUGAUCCUUAGAUGAAAGAUGGUUCUGCUAUCGCUUUUAGAUGGACCCGCGGCGUAUUAACUAGUUGGUGGGGUAACGGCCUACCAAGGUGAUGAUACGUAGCCGAACUGAGAGGUUGAUCGGCCACAUUGGGACUGAGACACGGCCCAAACUCCUACGGGAGGCAGCAGUAGGGAAUCUUCCACAAUGGACGCAAGUCUGAUGGAGCAACGCCGCGUGAGUGAAGAAGGUCUUCGGAUCGUAAAACUCUGUUGUUAGAGAAGAACACGAGUGAGAGUAACUGUUCAUUCGAUGACGGUAUCUAACCAGCAAGUCACGGCUAACUACGUGCCAGCAGCCGCGGUAAUACGUAGGUGGCAAGCGUUGUCCGGAUUUAUUGGGCGUAAAGGGAACGCAGGCGGUCUUUUAAGUCUGAUGUGAAAGCCUUCGGCUUAACCGGAGUAGUGCAUUGGAAACUGGAAGACUUGAGUGCAGAAGAGGAGAGUGGAACUCCAUGUGUAGCGGUGAAAUGCGUAGAUAUAUGGAAGAACACCAGUGGCGAAAGCGGCUCUCUGGUCUGUUACUGACGCUGAGGUUCGAAAGCGUGGGUAGCAAACAGGAUUAGAUACCCUGGUAGUCCACGCCGUAAACGAUGAAUGCUAGGUGUUGGAGGGUUUCCGCCCUUCAGUGCCGCAGCUAACGCAAUAAGCAUUCCGCCUGGGGAGUACGACCGCAAGGUUGAAACUCAAAGGAAUUGACGGGGGCCCGCACAAGCGGUGGAGCAUGUGGUUUAAUUCGAAGCAACGCGAAGAACCUUACCAAGUCUUGACAUCCUGCGACGAUGCUGGAAACAGUAUUUUCCUUCGGGACGCAGAGACAGGUGGUGCAUGGUUGUCGUCAGCUCGUGUCGUGAGAUGUUGGGUUAAGUCCCGCAACGAGCGCAACCCUUGUUGUCAGUUGCCAGCAUUAAGUUGGGCACUCUGGCGAGACUGCCGGUGACAAACCGGAGGAAGGUGGGGACGACGUCAAGUCAUCAUGCCCAUUAUGACCUGGGCUACACACGUGCUACAAUGGACGGUACAACGAGUCGCGAGACCGCGAGGUUUAGCUAAUCUCUUAAAGCCGUUCUCAGUUCGGAUUGUAGGCUGCAACUCGCCUACAUGAAGUCGGAAUCGCUAGUAAUCGCGAAUCAGCAUGUCGCGGUGAAUACGUUCCCGGGCCUUGUACACACCGCCCGUCACACCAUGAGAGUUUGUAACACCCAAAGCCGGUGGGGUAACCGCAAGGAGCCAGCCGUCUAAGGUGGGACAGAUGAUUGGGGUG